UUUCCGUAGGUGAACCUGCGGAAGGAUCAUUAGUGAAUUAGGACACUCUUAGGAGGUCCAACCCCACUUUCCAACUCUGUGAACUAUUGGCGAAGACAGCUCCGGCUUGACUCGCGGCUCAUUUUAAACACCAGUCUAUGUAUGUAACCAAAAAAUAAAAUAAGAAAAACUUUCAACAACGGAUCUCUUGGCUCUCGCAUCGAUGAAGAACGCAGC
rnacentral:misc_RNA from 1 species